AAACUUUCAACAACGGAUCUCUUGGUUCCCGCAUCGAUGAAGAACGCAGCGAAACGCGAUAGGUAAUGUGAAUUGCAGAAUCUAGUGAAUCAUCGAAUCUUUGAACGCACAUUGCGCCUUUUGGUAUUCCGAGAGGCAUGUCUGUUUGAGCGUGAGU
rnacentral:rRNA from 1 species